rnacentral:lncRNA from 1 species
GUGUGGCAAAAAUUAUUAAGGAGCUGCCUGCAUGCAGGGAUGUUGCAAAAUACUGCACAAAAGCAAACUAAUAUAUUCAUUUCAGCAAGAAUUGUGUAUUCUGAUCUGACUUGGAUUCUCCAGGGACUGCAUGUCAGACAAACACAAUAAAAAUCAAGAGACCAGAUGACCCACUUCUCUUUAGCUUGAGGAUAAAACCCAACUGCUUUAGUAGCCCUGUCCAAACUGGCUGUAAAUAAUAAUUCUGAAGAAAAACAGGGUGGUAACACUAACUUCAAAAAGUACUUCACGAAUCCGAAAACUUAUAUUAAAUAACCAACCAUGAUUAAUGCACUUGGCUGUAGAAUUCAAUUAUAUUUUAAAAGGAGAUCAUGAAGGAGACUUCAGACUUGUUUUCUUUUACCACUGAUAUGACAGAUCAAAAAUGUUAAUGCUACAGCUAUGGUACUAACUAGAAACUAAGUAUAGCUUAAAUGCACUGAUUUAUUUUACAAAUGUGGAACAUUCAAGGAAUAGGCCGUUGUUCUGUAAAGGCUAUCAAUGACACUAAAGAAUUAUACAGCUCAUACCAACUCAAAACAAUGCAUAAACAGAAUCAAGAGACAUUUAAUAUGCUAUGUACCAGAACAUGAAAUGAUGGGGACCAUAAAAUGUGGAUAAUCUGAACUGCAGAAAUUACUCCAUUUCAAUGAUCUGUUCCUUAAAAAGAAAAAGUAAACUGUUUAAAAGAUUUAGCAAAAUGUGUGCAUAGAUUGUGUAAAUCACCAUGGGUAUCAAUUAUAUCUCGAAAAUAGUGUACAGUUCUUAUAACAUCAAGGCCUGGUUUUAAUUACAGAUGCAGUGUAACUAACAAUUUCUUAAUUUUAAUGAGUCCUAUUCUAUUAUAGGAUUAACUGGUGCUGUAGCUGAAGAAGCCAAAAGAAUUUUGAAUUAAAAGAAUUCCAGAGACAUUUGAGAGGCACACAGAGCAGCACAUUGUUUUGAAAUAUGUUGGAUUUUGGCCCAAAUGCAGUUCUGCUUUCUCAUUCAGUGAGACAUCUUGUGGGAUCAUGCCCUUUUUUUCCAAAACUAAAAGGAAUGUUCACUGCUGAACUUGGCCAAAAACUUAUCCCGUGUUGCAACAAGGUGAAUGUCACGUUGUGUAAAGGACAGUGCACACAUAAAAUACCCACUGUGCUGAUGUUUACACGAUGUACAUUUUUGGAUCAGUGUGCAACUGAUCAUGCCAAACUCUCCAGUGUUGGUUCAUGAAAAGCACACCAGACUGCCUCAGCUUCAACCCCCUGACCCACUGGAGAGUUCUGCAGGCUACUGAGCAGUAAAAGUUCCCUCUGUGGAUAAAGAGCCCAUGGCAAGCAGUAAUCUCUCAGAAGCAAUGAACAUGCCUCAUCUGAGUGUAUGUGUUAAGUUUGUUAAAUAUUUAUCCAGAUCCAUAUUUGAGUAAUAAAAAUUACAUGCUGAAAGUACUUCA